CUAGCUCUCCUCUGCUUUUUUCUGCAGGUGGCACUUUUGCUUGUGUCUUGUUAUCUUUUCGAAAUGGUGAAGCUGACAAUGAUAGCCUGUAUCACUGAUGGCCUUUCAUUUGCGGAGUGCUUAGAUGGUGGUUAUGUUAAGGAUGUUGUCUUCUACAAGCAGCAAGCAAAAUUAGUCACCUUGCCUCUCUUGCACUUAACAUUGUCUAAUUAGACUUUUCAAAAUGAUUAUCCAGGACUGCUUGGCCUCUCGUUUCGAUUAGCCUAUCAUUAAAGUUGGAAACACCAGAAUUGACGCUUGCGUAUGAGUAGAGAGGUCCAGGACGAUCUGAGACACAUGGGUUUCCUGUUCUCAACUUCUCAUGUUUGAUUUUAAUUCUUUUGCUUUUUGGUUAACCAGAGCUCAGAAUCAAGAUUAAGAAAGUAGUUGAGCACAAAGCAAACAAGGUGAUGUUUGCCCAUAGAUGCCUGAUGAUGAUCAUUUCCUGAAGAGUACAAUGCUGGGUGGAUAUUCUUCUACCUU